CUUUUCCUGUUGUUAUAUAACUAUAAUAAUAAUAAUAAUAAUAAUAAUAAAGCACAGAUUCCUGUAUCUGCAAUUUUUUAAGGGGGUGUCCUGAAUUAGAAUGUUCUAAAACAGCGUCUUUUUGUGAUUUUUUUUAGAAAGGAAAGAAAGAAAUGAAGUUAUUGAAUUUUGAGGUAUGGUUUUAUAUAUAUUUAACGAAUACAAAAAAAUUUUUUUUAAAGUAAAAAAGAAAAUUACAACAGAUUUCUAAGCCUAUUUCAUGGGCUGCAGUUUUCAAUUCAAAAAAGUUUGGC